CCUACGGGAGGCAGCAGUGGGGGAUAUUGCACAAUGGGGGGAACCCUGAUGCAGCGACGCCGCGUGGGUGAAGAAGCGCCUCGGCGCGUAAAGCCCUGUCAGCCGGGAAGAAACUGACGGUACCUGAAGAAGAAGCCCCGGCUAACUACGUGCCAGCAGCCGCGGUAAUACGUAGGGGGCAAGCGUUAUCCGGAUUUACUGGGGGUAAGGGGGGCGCAGACGGCGAUGCAAGCCAGGAGUGAAAGCCCGGGGCCCAACCCCGGGACUGCUCGUGGAACUGCGUGGCUGGAGUGCAGGAGGGGCAGGCGGAAUUCCUGGUGUAGCGGUGAAAUGCGUAGAUAUCAGGAGGAACACCGGUGGCGAAGGCGGCCUGCUGGACUGCAACUGACGUUGAGGCCCGAAAGCGUGGGGAGCAAACAGGAUUAGAUACCCGAGUAGUC
rnacentral:rRNA from 1 species